UCGCUCUCUUUUUUUAACCCUAAAUCAACUGCUCAGUUCUUUCUCCUUUUUCCUUUGUUUAUGUGUUUAUGUGCAGAGGCAUCAAUUUUAUCUCUCUCCAUCCAUUUUAUCUCUCUCUCCCUUACCCUGAACAAAACAACUGAUCGAUCCACUAAAGCGGUUCUCAAAUUUAGGUCAUUUCAUCAUCAGAUCUAAGAUGGGCGGAACAAAGGCUUUGUAAGGGGGUGUGGAGGCCCUUGUAAUUUUUGUUGAAGGCCCCUUAGAAGUCAUGGUCAUGGAAAUAGCAAAAUUGAGUUAUCAUCGCAAUUUCAAUCGCAAUCGUAACUCUUUUUAUUUUCAUUGUACAUAUGGUACUUCGCGUCGGCAUUGCUUUGUGAGUUGGUUCGAUUCCCGGUAGUUCAUCUCUAGUAUCCCACACUAUGAUUCGAUUUUUAGUUCACUAAAUUUUGGUUCGUGUGAUUUCACUAAUUUCUGGUUCUUGUAUUUUGGAUCGAUUGUAGUUGUUUUGUUUCCCAUUUUAUAUUCUCAGUGCCCCAAAAUCAGUUUAUUUUUCUUUCAGUUCCAGUAGUAGACAUGGCGGAGAAAUGACUAGGACUCACAAUAAUGGAUUGAGAUUUCAAUACUGCCUUUUUUUGUUUCUAGUUUCUUGAUUUUUAUACUGGUUUGGUGAUUUUGGUUAUGGAAGAUUUACAAUUUAUUCCUAAUAGUUAGUGUAUUACUUUGUUCAUUGAUAUUCAUUCUUAAUAGUUAGUGUGUUCGUAAAAUAUAUGGUUUCUAUUUGGAAUAUAAGCAAAUUGUUUUAGAUAUAAUCCGUUUUAAUUCCUUUUGUUUAUCGUCGAAGGUAUAUAACAUAUUACUAGUUAAGAAUGUUUGAUAGGGGGUGCAAAGUAGCCGAGCUUGUCUCGUUGUUAGUUUUUCAAGCUUGAGCUCCGUUCAUUUAUUAUUUGUCAAUUAAUUUUUAUUUUUGUAUAAGAGUAUUUUAUAAUUUUUUUUGUGUGUGUAUAUAUUUAUAUAUUAAUUUAGUUAUUUUAUCAUAAUUUUAUAAUAUUUGUUAUAAUUAUGUAAAUAUAUUUAGUAUAUUAAAUGGACACAUUUAGGCUCACAAGCCGGUUUGAGCUCGAUAAGGGAAGCUUGGGUUCAACUUGUUUACCAAACAUGUUCAUUUUUAGGCUCGUUUAAGCUUGACUUGUUUCAAGUUUUUUUCAAGCCGAUCUCGAGUAACUCGUUUACACCACUAAUGCUUGACAGUAUUUUGUAGAAGUUGCAUUUGACAAUGUAGUUGGUAAGUAAUAUUGUGAGUUAGAUUUUGCUAUGAUUCAAUAUAUUUUGACCAAUCUGCUCCGACCUGAGGUUUAGUUAUAUGUUUGUAUUCAAAGAUUUAUAACUGAGUAGUGAGAAACAUGGCAUGUUUAUAGAUUCUAAGUUUUGGUUGCCCUUUUCAGAUUCUAAUCUUAUAUGUUAAAUAUUAAAGAUGCUUUUGGUAGAUGAAGAAAGGAGGUUGUAGGAGAUACAAAAAAAGCUGAAGAUCUUGAGUUUUUUUAGAAGACAUUGGGUGUUGGCAUUUUUGGACAUGAAAGCAUAUACUUGCUAUUAUCUCGAUUCAAUAAGGAAUAACACAAUUAAUCCAGUGUUGAGUGUCCAUAUUAGACGAGAGGUACUGUAUGUGGCUAUUAUGUGUUGAAGUUCAUGAAAAAGGUGGUUGAAGAAGGAAUUGAAAUACUUGCCAAUGACAAUGUUGGGGGAGGCAAAGUGGUAUACAUGGAUGAGGAUAUUGAUGGAAUACGUGAAGGGUGUUCGGGUUAUGGGGCAACGUUUGUUUUUAAGUGACUAUUUAAGAUGUCCAAGUAUGUACACCAAACAAUAUUUUUUGUUACCUUAACAUAUUUGAAUUGUAUUUGACAUAUGACUAUGAAAUGAAUUGU